UUUGAUGGCUGUUCCUCUCACUGCUUGGAGCCUUAGGCAGUGGGAUUUUGAUCCAUCAUAUAUCAAAAAUGGCUUAUCUUCACUCAGGGCACCAUGAGGAUGGGCUGGCUGUCCGUUAGUGCCUUCUGAUUUUUGCGGAGUCAAACAAUUACU
rnacentral:snoRNA from 1 species